AACGAACGCUGGCGGCAGGCCUAACACAUGCAAGUCGAGCGGACCCUUCGGGGUUAGCGGCGGACGGGUGAGUAACGCGUGGGAACGUGCCCUUUGCUUCGGAAUAGCCCUGGGAAACUGGGAGUAAUACCGGAUACGCCCUUUUGGGGAAAGAUUUAUCGGCGAAGGAUCGGCCCGCGUUGGAUUAGGUAGUUGGUGGGGUAAUGGCCUACCAAGCCGACGAUCCAUAGCUGGUUUGAGAGGAUGAUCAGCCACACUGGGACUGAGACACGGCCCAGACUCCUACGGGAGGCAGCAGUGGGGAAUCUUAGACAAUGGGGGAAACCCUGAUCUAGCCAUGCCGCGUGAGCGAUGAAGGCCUUAGGGUUGUAAAGCUCUUUCACCGGGGAAGAUAAUGACGGUACCCGGGGAAGAAGCCCCGGCUAACUCCGUG
rnacentral:rRNA from 1 species